rfam:Brachypodium distachyon strain Bd21 chromosome 1, whole genome shotgun sequence.
UAACUUCUCUCUCCGUCCAACAAGAGAUGUUUCAAGUUUGUCAAAAUUUGGAUGUAUCUAGACACGAUUUAUAAUGUAUAGAUGCAUUCAAAUUUAGUCAAAAUUGAGACAUCCUUUGUUGGACGGAGAAACUAUUUU